GCCCCCAUGGUCUAGCGGUCAUGACGCCGCCCUUUCACGGCGGAGAUCGUCGGUUCGAAUCCGACUGGGGGUA
rnacentral:tRNA from 1 species